rnacentral:rRNA from 1 species
AUUGAACGCUGGCGGCAUGCCUUACACAUGCAAGUCGAACGGCAGCGCGGACUUCGGUCUGGCGGCGAGUGGCGAACGGGUGAGUAAUGUAUCGGAAAGUACAAUUCAGUGGGGGAUAACGCAGCGAAAGUUGCGCUAAUACCGCAUAUUCUGUGCGCAGGAAAGCAGGGGAUCGCAAGACCUUGCGCUGAUUGAGCGGCCGAUAUCAGAUUAGCUAGUUGGUGAGGUAAAGGCUCACCAAGGCGACGAUCUGUAGCGGGUAUGAGAGGAUGAUCCGCCACACUGGAACUGAGCCACGGUCCAGACUCCUACGGGAGGCAGCAGUGGGGAAUUUUGGACAAUGGGCGCAAGCCUGAUCCAGCCAUGCCGCGUGAGUGAAGAAGGCCUUCGGGUUGUAAAGCUCUUUCGGCCGGGAAGAAAUCGUAUGGGUUAAUACCCUGUGCGGAUGACGGUACCGGCAUAAGAAGCACCGGCUAACUACGUGCCAGCCGCCGCCGUAACAC